UGGUGCCUGGGGGGUGACCCUGGGUGAAAAGGGAACCGGGUGCGAAUCCCGGACAGACGGUGCUGCUGUGUGCCCCCAGAUUGUAAGACCCUGCACUUGACCACUGUGCAAAGGCCCGAUAACAAGGGAUUGUGUGGGAAGGGAAAGGUGCAAGAGAGGGUAGGGGCGAGUCAGAAGACCUGCCAAGUCG
rnacentral:ncRNA from 1 species